GGAGACGUGCGAGAGCGGCCGAAUCGGCGCGACUGGAAAUCGCGUGGCCUUCAAAGGGCCCAAGGGUUCAAAUCCCUUCGUCUCCG
rnacentral:tRNA from 1 species